GGUGGGGUUCCCGAGUGGCCAAAGGGAACAGACUGUAAAUCUGUCGGCGAAGCCUUCGGAGGUUCGAAUCCUCCCCCCACCACCA
rnacentral:tRNA from 1 species